AAUUAUUAAGCUUUAAUAAGCUUAUGUUUUGAAAACAUAAAAUAGAAGUUUAAUCUUCUAAUAAUUU
rnacentral:tRNA from 1 species